AGAGUUUGAUCAUGGCUCAGGAUGAACGCUGGCGGCGUGCCUAAUACAUGCAAGUCGUACGAGGGAAGUCCAGCUUGCUGGACGGAACGAGUGGCGAACGGGUGAGUAAUACGUAAGCAACCUGCCUGCAAGGACUGGGAUAACACCUGGAAACGGGCGCUAAUACCGGAUAGGUAACAAAGGGGCAUCCCUAUGUUAUUAAAGGUUAGAAACACAAGCAGAUGGGCUUACGGUGCAUUAGCUAGUUGGUGAGGUAACGGCCCACCAAGGCGAUGAUGCAUAGCCGGCCUGAGAGGGUGAACGGCCACAUUGGGACUGAGACACGGCCCAGACUCCUACGGGAGGCAGCAGUAGGGAAUUUUCGGCAAUGGACGAAAGUCUGACCGAGCAACGCCGCGUGAGUGAAGAAGGUUUUCGGAUUGUAAAGCUCUGUUGUAAGGGAAGAACAGCACGGAAAGAAUCCGUGAAUGACGGUACCUUACCAGAAAGCCACGGCUAACUACGUGCCAGCAGCGGC
rnacentral:rRNA from 1 species